GGCAACUUGGCCGAUCUAUUUAAGGCGCCACAUUAGGGAGAUAUCCUUAAUCAUCACACAACAUCUUGACUUAUAGGGUUCAUCUCGAUGAGAAGUUCCGUGGUCCGAAAGGGCGUGGGUUCAAAUCUCACAGUUGUCA